AACACAUGCAAGUCGAGCGCUCUAACCACUUCGGUGGGGACGGGAGCGGCGGACGGGUUAGUAACGCGUGGGAACAUACCCUUUUCUACGGAAUAGCCUCGGGAAACUGAGAGUAAUACCGUAUACGCCCUUCGGGGGAAAGAUUUAUCGGUUAAGGAUUGGCCCGCGUUAGAUUAGUUAGUUGGUGGGGUAACGGCCUACCAAGACGACGAUCUAUAGCUGGUUUGAGAGGAUGAUCAGCAACACUGGGACUGAGACACGGCCCAGACUCCUACGGGAGGCAGCAGUGGGGAAUCUUAGACAAUGGGCGCAAGCCUGAUCUAGCGAUGCCGCGUGAGUGAAGAAGGCCUUAGGGUCGUAAAGCUCUUUCGCCUGUGAUGAUAAUGACAGUAGCAGGUAAAGAAACCCCGGCUAACUCCGUGCCAGCAGCCGCGGUAAUACGGAGGGGGUUAGCGUUGUUCGGAAUUACUGGGCGUAAAGCGUACGUAGGCGGAUUAGUAAGUGAGGGGUGAAAUCCCAGGGCUCAACCCUGGAACUGCCUCUCAUACUGCUAGUCUUGAGAUCGAGAGAGGUGAGUGGAAUUCCGAGUGUAGAGGUGAAAUUCGUAGAUAUUCGGAGGAACAUCAGUGGCGAAGGCGGCUCACUGGCUCGAUACUGACGCUGAGGUACGAAAGUGUGGGGAGCAAACAGGAUUAGAUACCCUGGUAGUCCACACCGUAAACGAUGAAUGCCAGACGUCGGGUAGCUUGCUAUUCGGUGUCACACCUAACGGAUUAAGCAUUCCGCCUGGGGAGUAC
rnacentral:rRNA from 1 species